GGAUCCGAGAAUUAACGACUAAUCGGCAGUUAUACCAGUUAGUCGGUUGGUCUAAACCAGGGGUUGGCAACCUUUAACACUCAAAGAGCCAUUUCAACCCGUUUCUCACAGAAAAGAAAACACCGGGAGCUGCAAAAUCCUUUUGGCAUUUAAAAUGAAGACAACACUGCAUAUAUCGCUUUUUUACCUCUAUGCCCUUGUUAAUCAGUUGUGAUUAAUUAAUUACAAAGCCUCUAAUUAGAUAGAUUCAUUUUUUGUCCUACCACUAAUAUUUAUCUUACUUGGUUAAUGUCAUUUUUGCUCCUGGACCUCAUAUGUUACGUAAUGUUAGCUGGAAAUCAAUAUUUUGUGAAUGUCUAUUUAACUUGUAAAAUCUAUUUAUCUAUUUAUCUUAAGCUAAUAACUUUUCUCAGGUAAGUCGCUGCCCUAUUUUCCAAGAUGACACUCCUCUGACUCUCUGACCUGCUGCCUGGACAUCGAGCUGUGUUCUUGCGAGUAACGUGUAUUACCCUAUCAUGAGUACUUUUGACUCAAAGACAAGACCUGUCUUUCUUGGAGUGGAGCUUUAAUAUACAGGCUUGCCAUUCUUGAGUACAAAACGAUGUGAAACUACCGGUGUUGCUUCUCCAUCUUCUUUGCGCUCUUAUGUCAUGUCCCAGCCAGGGGAAAACCCCAGCAGCACAUCCGGUGGAGUGACACGUCAAAAUAAGAGCGGUAAUUUCACAAUAAAACUCUCUAUAUUAAAAUGCAUUGAAACGCGCCUGAAAGGCAGAACAAUUUAUUUUCCAGAGUUACAAGGAGCCACAACAGAGGGCUGAAAGACCCAUAUGCGGCUCCGGAGCCGCGGGUUACCUACCCCUGGUCUAAACUAUAAAUUAUUCCCUUAACAAAUGGUCUCAUUUAAAUAAUUAAACACUGGACAGUAAGAUUACUAUUUUGAGAAAAAAUGCAAUAUUUCCAGAGGAAGUCAACUAGUUAGCCAAAAAAAAUCGUCACUUAAUCAACUAUCUGACUGAUUAGUCAUUAAUGUAAACAAUGCAUUUUCUCCCCCUUAAUAAAUGACCACUUCAUAUAGAGGGAUUUGUUGUUUACAAACACGAGAGGAUGCGGGCAUCACAGCUGCAGAAAGGCGGGCCCUUUAAAUUGUCAAGUUGGCUGUUUUCAGCCACGUUAGCGGUCCUUAGCGGUUUUAAUUUUAGCUAGCGAUGUCAGCAUACUACAACAGUUUAUUGCCAAGUGAUAAAAUAAGUUAUUCAACUAAAUUGACAUUAGUAAGCGGUAUACGCCUUAACGACCCAUAUGUUGCAAGCUGCUGCCUAGAUAAAUGACGAAAAAAAAUGGCCCAAACUUCAGUGGCCAGACAUCCAUUCUUACCUGAUCGAGAUUCCGAGUCUCUAUUCCCGGGAAAGCCUGAAAUCCUACCAAACACUGGAUGCUUACAGCUAUGUAAUGGACAACCAUGUGCAGGAUAUUUUAUUACAUGACUACAACCUAGAAAACUUCGUGGCUCUGAAAACAGAGGUGCUACCAAGUCAAAGACAAGGAAAGAGGACAGAGGUGUACAAGGUGUGGGCGAUUGUAAACAAAAAGAACAACAGCAUUCUAACCGCGAACUGCACCUGCAUGGCUGGGUAGGUAAUACUGAAUACUCUGAUAACAAUACAGACAUUAUCUGCUAACUUUUAUCACUUUGAGAGCAGAGGUGGGUAGUUGCUACUAGUAAAUUGUUAUAUACUUGAGUUAAUUGUUGAGGAAAAUACUCAGAGUUGCUUUACCAUUCAGUGCUUUUUACAUCUAGUCAAUAAUAUUACACUGAAGUGUUUGUACUCUUACUUAACCCAUAAGAACCCAGACCCAUUUUUUAGGUUGCUACUGUUUACUUCUACUUCAGUAAAAUAAUUUCAAAGUACCACUACUCUAACUGAAGUCAAUAUUUUUACUACUCAACCCACCUCUGUCACUCAGUUUCUUUCAUUAUUGAAAACAUUUUUAUGAUCAUUGCUACAGUGGUGCAAAGUGGCAUAAUGCUUUCUCUCUUUAUUAUUGUUCUAAUCAAUUUGUGUGAAAUUUUUCCUGAGUUUCUUCUUCCUCAGUUUGGGGUCAUGCUGUAGGCCCGCAGCAGCUCUAAUGUUUAAGGUUGAGUUGUGGGUCAGAUAUGGAAAGACUGAAGUGGCUUGUACAUCAGAGACCAACCAAUGGCUUCUGGACUCCAGAAAAGAGGUAAAGGCAGCCAGACUGAGUGAAAUCUGUGUCAAAAGACCUAAGUAGACGCACACCGGCUUACUGCUACCUGUGAGAAGAAAACGCCACGAGAUCAACAACAAUGUCAAAGAGGUGACAGAUAAAGACAUGAAGAAGCUGAAACUUCUGGAACCCAAGGCAGCUGUUCUCACUAGCCUGGACUGCAGUGACACAGACACCGUGUCAGAUUCGGACAAAGAGAACGAAGACCCAUUGGAGCCACUUGAAGCUCUGUAUGAUGCAAAUCUGAGAGGCCUCUCCUCAACUGAAUUACUAGAAAAAAGUGAGGCUAUAUUUUCCAGGCUUAGAAGGGAGAUAACACAGUUGUCCAUCCAGACCAUCCACAUCUUGGAGCAUCACCAGAUGGAGUGGUGAACUGUGGUUGCUGCGGUAGAGGAACUGUAGAGAUCAAGUGCCCAAAGAUUUUUGCUUAGACCAAUCAUUCUGUCUCAAAAAGAACCACAAGUACUACCAUCAAGUACAACUUCACAUGUUUGUAUGUGAGGUACAGUACUGCGACUUUGUGAUGUGGACACAGCAAGAUCUAAUCAUCACUCGUGUUGCCAGAGAUGAUCCAUUCCUUUCCACAGCCCUCCCUAUUGCUGAACAGUUCUUUAAACAAAAUAUUCUGCCUGAGCUGUUAACACGCAGCAUGGACCAGCAACAACAAGCACCGACGGUCUGCCCUCACUGUGAAAGACCAGAAUUUGGAAAGAUCAUUACCUGUGCAAAGUGCAAUAAGCAUUUCCACUAUGAAUGUGCAAAGGUAAAAAGAAAGGUGAAACAAUGGUAUUGUGCUAAGUGUAAGUGAAAAGAGCUGGAGUAUGCACUUAAACAAGCUUUAUUUAGAUGACCAGUUCCUGUUUAACUAUUGAAAGUUUGCACUUAGGUUCAAC